CCCGCUGAACUUAAGCAUAUCAAUAAGCGGAGGAAAAGAAACUAACAAGGAUUCCCCUAGUAACGGCGAGUGAAGCGGGAAAAGCUCAAAUUUAAAAUCUGGCGGGGUACCUCGUCCGAGUUGUAAUUUCAAGAUGCGUUUUCGGUGCGCGCCUGGGUAUAAGUCCUUUGGAACAGGGCAUCAUAGAGGGUGAGAAUCCCGUUUAUGACCCGGAGUGGCGUACUAUGUGAUACGACAUCAAAGAGUCAGGUUGUUUGGGAAUGCAGCCUAAAAUGGGUGGUAAAUUUCAUCUAAAGCUAAAUAUUGGCGAGAGACCGAUAGCGAACAAGUACCGUGAGGGAAAGAUGAAAAGAACUUUGAAAAGAGAGUAAAACAGUACGUGAAAUUGUUGAAAGGGAAACGUUUGAAAUCAGUCAUGUGGGCGGGUAAUCAGCUUGGCCCUUGGGUCUUGUGCACUUUCCCGUCUCGCAGGUCAGCGUCGGUUUUGUUUUGCCGGAUAAAUGCCAAGGGAAUGUAGCUCCACCUUUCAUGAGGAGGGGUGUUAUAGCCCUGGUAAAUACGGUGGUCGAGACCGAGGUCUGCAGUCGAUGCCUCUCGGGGCUGGGGACUCUAUCGCUUGUUCGCACCCGUGCCUAGACAGCUUGCUGACUAGGUGUGUGGUUGUGGGCGACACGGUGGCCUACCACACAUCGACUUAGGUCGCUGACAUAAUGGUUUUAAAUGACCCGUCUUGAAACACGG
rnacentral:rRNA from 1 species